AAGCCCAUGUCUUCCGACUGUAAUCCAAUUCUUCUGACAUGAAUCUCCCAAUUCUCCUAACUUAAUCCCAUUCCUCCUGACAUUAAUCCCAUUCUCCUAACAUUAAAUCCCAGUACUCCUACUUGAAUCCUACUUUCUCCUGACAUUAAUACCAUUCCUGGACAUUAAUCCCAUUCUCCUGACUUUUUAAUUAAUACCAAUUCCCUGACAUAAUCCCAUUCUCCUACAUUAAUCCCAUUCUCCUAAAAUUAAUCCCAUUCUCCUAAAAUUUAAUACCCAGUCUCGGACAUUAAUCCCUUCUGCUGACAUUAAUCCCAUUCUCCCUAACAUUAAUAAUCCCAUUCCGCCUGACAUUAAUGCCAUUCUCCUAACAGAAUCCUAUUAUCCUGUACAUUAAUUCCCAUGCGCCUAACUUUAAUCUCAUUCUCCUAACAUUAAUCCCAUUUUCGCCUAACAUUAAUCCUAUUCUCCUGACAUUAAUCCCAUAUCUCCUAACAUUAAUCCCAUUCUUGCCUAAAAUUAAUCCAUGCUCCUGACAUUAAGCCCAUUCUCCUAACAUUAAUCCCAGUCUCCUAAAAUGAAUCCUAAUUCAUCCUAGACAUAUAAUCCCAUUCUCUGACAUUAAAAUCCCAUUCUCUUCUUAACAUUAAUCCCAUUCUUCUGACAUUAAUCCCCAUUCUGCCCUGACAUUAAUCCCAUUCUCCUCAAAUUAAUCCCAUUCUCCUCCUAACAUGAAUCCAAUUCCUUCUGACAUUAAUCCCAUUUCUUCUUCUUCUGACAU
rnacentral:lncRNA from 1 species